GACGAACGCUGGCGGCGUGCUUAACACAUGCAAGUCGAACGAGUGGCGAACGGGUGAGUAACACGUGGGUGAUCUGCCUUGCACUUCGGGAUAAGCUUGGGAAACUGGGUCUAAUACCGGAUAGUGCAAGAUGAGCUCGCGGCCUAUCAGCUUGUUGGUGGGGUAAUGGCUACCAAGGCGCGACGGGUAGCCGGCCUGAGAGGGUGACCGGGCAGAGUGGGACGGAGAGACGGCUCAGACUCCUACGGGAGGCAGCAGUGGGGGAUAUUGCACAAUGGGGGAAAGCCUGAGGCAGCGACGCCGCGUGGGGGAUGAAGGCUUUCGGGUUGUAAACCUGUUACGCUAUCGAACGGGUAGGUGGAGAAGAAGCGCCGGCUAACUACGUGCCAGCAGCCGCGGUAAUAC
rnacentral:rRNA from 1 species